UACGGGGGGUGCAAACGUUGCUCGGAAUUAUUGGGCGUAAAGCGCACGUAGGCGGUCCCUUAAGUCGGGUGUGAAAGCCCUCGGCUUAACCGAGGAAGUGCAUUCGAAACUGGGGGACUUGAAUACUGGAGAGGAUGGCGGAAUUCCCGGUGUAGAGGUGAAAUUCGUAGAUAUCGGGAGGAACACCAGCGGCGAAGGCGGCCAUCUGGACAGAUAUUGACGCUGAGGUGCGAAAGCGUGGGGAGCAAACAGG
rnacentral:rRNA from 1 species